UCUCACUCGCACGUGUUGACGUCCUGGGUGUUGGUGACGUGUGUUGAUCUUACUCGCGCCUGUUGACGUACUGUGUUGAUCUCGCUCGCGCCUGUUGACGUACUGUGUGUUGACCUCGCUCGCGCCUGUUGACGUACUGUGUUGACCUCGCUCGCGCCUGUUGACGUACUGUGUUGAUCUCGCUCGCGCCUGUUGACGUACUGUGUGUUGAUCUCGCACGCGCCUGUUGACGUACUGUGUGUUCACCUCGCUCGCGCCUGUUGACGUACUGUGUGUUCACCUCGCUCGCGCAUGUUCACAUACUCGAAUGUCUUGUCUUCUAUCCAUGAAUUUAAUUAAGUUUGGUGUACAAACUGAGAUGUUGUAGAUAGUGCUUGUACGAUUUAACUGAUAUCACUACGCUUCUCAAGGCAAGAAGAUUGACUGAUCAAGAAGGAGCCCUUAUUCUAAAGAGCGGUGGUGAUGGCGUCCACGGAGACUCCCUUCAACACCACCGACCUGCUUGCUGAAGGAGCGGUGGCGAUGGCGUCCACGGAGACUCCCUUCAACACCACCGUCCUACUCCCUAAAGGGUAAGGGUGUUCAUUUACUAUUUUUGCCU